rnacentral:rRNA from 1 species
UACAGAGGGUGCAAGCGUUGCUCGGAUUUACUGGGCGUAAAGCGUACGCAGACGGUGAGAAAGGUCGGAUGUGAAAGCCCCGGGCUCAACCCGGGAACUGCAUCCGAAACCAUCUCGCUCGAGUGUGGGAGAGGGAAGUGGAAUUCCUGGUGUAGAGGUGAAAUUCGUAGAUAUCAGGAGGAACACCGGCGGCGAAGGCGGCUUCCUGGCCCAUUACUGACGUUCAGGUACGAAAGCGUGGGUAGCAAACAGG